UGGGGAAUAUUGGACAAUGGGCGAAAGCCUGAUCCCGCCAUGCCGCGUGUGUGAAGAAGGUCUUCGGAUUGUAAAGCACUUUAAGUUGGGAGGAAGGGCAGUAAGCGAAUACCUUGCUGUUUUGACGUUACCGACAGAAUAAGCACCGGCUAACUCUGUGCCAGCAGCCGCGGUAAUACAGAGGGUGCAAGCGUUAAUCGGAAUUACUGGGCGUAAAGCGCGCGUAGGUGGUUCGUUAAGUUGAAUGUGAAGGCCCCGGGCUCAACCUGGGAACUGCAUCCAAAACUGGCGAGCUAGAGUAGAGCAGAGGGUGGUGGAAUUUCCUGUGUAGCGGUGAAAUGCGUAGAUAUAGGAAGGAACACCAGUGGCGAAGGCGACCACCUGGGCUCAUACUGACACUGAGGUGCGAAAGCGUGGGGAGCAAACAGG
rnacentral:rRNA from 1 species